rnacentral:rRNA from 1 species
AUGCCGCCAAACCAGUGCUCGUCCAACAAGUCGCUGGACGUGGACAGCUCGCUCGGCGUCGGCGAGCCUUGGGCGUCCUUUUCGCCGUCGUGCAUCUCCGACGUUGACACGACGGGGCGCUGCCGCUGGAACUCCAGGACGGCGAUGGCGACGGCGUCCUUGAUCUCCCGCGCGCUGCUGAAGCGGGACGAGCCAGCCGCGAGGACGGGCAGCAUCCGCCAGGCGGAGUCGGCGAAGUUGAGGCAGGCGGCGCGGUCGAGGAGCGCGAGCACGGCGGAGUCGUGCGCGCGCGCCGCCAUCUCGGCAGUGGUGAAGGUGCCGAGCCAGAGCCUGUACCCUUGCGCGCCGCGCACGCGAACCUCGCACACCCACUGCCCGAGCCGGCCCCGGCGCCGCACGCCGCGGUACAGCGGGUGGCGCGUCUCCCUGAACUUGGUCCGCCCUGCCGGCCUCUUGGGCGGCUCCGAGCACACCGUCCUGUGCCCCUCACGCGGGGAGCCGGCAGCGGCGGUGUCCAUCAGUUGCAGCGUCAAAAACUAG